rnacentral:rRNA from 1 species
AGGGAACGCUGGCGGUAGGCCUAACACAUGCAAGUCGAACGGCAGCACAGUAAGAGCUUGCUCUUACGGGUGGCGAGUGGCGGACGGGUGAGGAAUACAUCGGAAUCUACUUUUUCGUGGGGGAUAACGUAGGGAAACUUACGCUAAUACCGCAUACGACCUACGGGUGAAAGCAGGGGAUCUUCGGACCUUGCGCGAUUGAAUGAGCCGAUGUCGGAUUAGCUAGUUGGCGGGGUAAAGGCCCACCAAGGCGACGAUCCGUAGCUGGUCUGAGAGGAUGAUCAGCCACACUGGAACUGAGACACGGUCCAGACUCCUACGGGAGGCAGCAGUGGGGAAUAUUGGACAAUGGGCGCAAGCCUGAUCCAGCCAUACCGCGUGGGUGAAGAAGGCCUUCGGGUUGUAAAGCCCUUUUGUUGGGAAAGAAAAGCAGCAGGUUAAUACCCCGCUGUUCUGACGGUACCCAAAGAAUAAGCACCGGCGAACUUCGG